UCACCUUUAUUUAACCAGGUAGGCCAGUUGAGAACACCUUUAUUUAACCAGGUAGGCUAGUUUAGAACACCUUUAUUUAACCAGGUAGGCUAGUUGAGAACACCUUUAUUUAACCAGGUAGGCCAGUUGAGAACACCUUUAUUUAACCAGGUAGGCCAGUUGAGAACACCUUUAUUUAACCAGGUAGGCUAGUUGAGAACACCUUUAUUUAACCAGGUAGGCCAGUUGAGAACACCUGUAUUUAACCAGGUAGGCUAGUUGAGAACACCUUUAUUAACCAGGUAGGCUAGUUGAGAACACCUGUAUUUAACCAGGUAGGCUAGUUGAGAACACCUUUAUUUAGCCAGGUAGG
ensembl:lncRNA